UACGGAGGGUGCAAGCGUUGCUCGGAAUUACUGGGCGUAAAGAGUGCGUAGGUUGUAUGGUGUGCUAGAUGUGAAAUCCAUGGGCUUAACCUGUGAAUUGCAUUUAAGACUGCCGUGCUAGAGUGUUGUAGAGGGUGGCGGAAUUUCCAGUGUAGCGGUGAAAUGCGUAGAUAUUGGAAGGAACACCAGUGGCGAAGGCGGCCACCUGGACAAACACUGACACUGAGGCACGAAAGCGUGGGGAGCAAACAGG
rnacentral:rRNA from 1 species